GUGGGGAAUCUUAGACAAUGGGCGCAAGCCUGAUCUAGCCAUGCCGCGUGAGCGAUGAAGGCCUUAGGGUUGUAAAGCUCUUUCGUGGGGGAAGAUAAUGACUGUACCCCAAGAAGAAACCCCGGCUAACUCCGUGCCAGCAGCCGCGGUAAUACGGAGGGGGUUAGCGUUGUUCGGAAUUACUGGGCGUAAAGCGCGCGUAGGCGGAUUGGAAAGUUGGGGGUGAAAUCCCGGGGCUCAACCCUGGAAUGGCCUUCAAAACUCCCAGUCUUGAGGUCGAGAGAGGUGAGUGGAAUUCCGAGUGUAGAGGUGAAAUUCGUAGAUAUUCGGAGGAACACCAGUGGCGAAGGCGGCUCACUGGCUCGAUACUGACGCUGAGGUGCGAAAGCGUGGGGAGCAAACAGGAUUAGAUACCCGAGUAGUCC
rnacentral:rRNA from 1 species